ACAUGCAAGUCGAACGAGAGAUGAGGAGCUUGCUUCCUCAAUCGAGUGGCGAACGGGUGAGUAACGCGUGAGGAACCUGCCUCAAAGAGGGGGACAACAGUUGGAAACGACUGCUAAUACCGCAUAAGCCCACAGCUCGGCAUCGAGCAGAGGGAAAAGGAGCAAUCCGCUUUGAGAUGGCCUCGCGUCCGAUUAGCUAGUUGGUGAGGUAACGGCCCACCAAGGCGACGAUCGGUAGCCGGACUGAGAGGUUGAACGGCCACAUUGGGACUGAGACACGGCCCAGACUCCUACGGGAGGCAGCAGUGGGGAAUAUUGCACAAUGGGGGAAACCCUGAUGCAGCGACGCCGCGUGGAGGAAGAAGGUCUUCGGAUUGUAAACUCCUGUUGUUGGGGAAGAUAAUGACGGUACCCAACAAGGAAGUGACGGCUAACUACGUGCCAGCAGCCGCGGUAAAACGUAGGUCACAAGCGCUGUCCGGAAUUACUGGGUGUAAAGGGAGCGCAGGCGGGAAGACAAGUUGGAAGUGAAAUCUAUGGGCUCAACCCAUAAACUGCUUUCAAAACUGUUUUUCUUGAGUAGUGCAGAGGUAGGCGGAAUUCCCGGUGUAGCGGUGGAAUGCGUAGAUAUCGGGAGGAACACCAGUGGCGAAGGCGGC
rnacentral:rRNA from 1 species